rnacentral:rRNA from 1 species
UACAGAGGUCCCAAGCGUUGUCCGGAUUCAUUGGGCGUAAAGAGCGUGUAGGCGGCCAGGUAGGUCGGUUGUGAAAACUGGAGGCUCAACCUUCAGAGGUCGACCGAAACCAUCUGGCUAGAGUCCGGGAGAGGAGAGUGGAAUUCCUGGUGUAGCGGUGAAAUGCGCAGAUAUCAGGAAGAACACCCGUGGCGAAAGCGGCUCUCUGGAACGGUACUGACGCUGAGACGCGAAAGCGUGGGGAGCGAACAGG